AUGAGGAAGAACUGAUCAUUCAAAUGUUGUAGUACAAGUAGUAAUGUAGUUAGUGCAUAAAUUACUAUUGCAACAAAUGUGUUAAUUUUCUGAAGUCGAUUUUCUUUGGACGAAUGCUCUGGGCCAGUGGUUACAAUGGUGGGGCCAGUGAUAAUACAAUUCCACCGGCCUGGAGGGCCAGUGGCAUUUUACCCUUAAUGUCUACCCCUGUAAUGCAUGGGUGUUUAACAUUUUAAAAAAGGAUCAAGGUUUAUUUUAGAUUAACACUAAAGUGGUUACAGUAAAGUUGGUAACUCUUAUAUCUAUACUCUGAUUGUCAUUUUUUGUUUAAUAUUUGUGUUUGUUUCAGUUACAUGUGGAGGUGUAAAGACUGUGCUGCAGAGGAAGAUUUCAUUCUUACAAUGCUUUGACAAAAAAUCAUCAGGAAGUGGAAGCAGAGUUUGCUCGCAUCACCACUGUCCCACUGAGAUCUAAGUUCAUGCAGCAGCUAGAUCACCACUCCUCCAAGCUGUUAAGGAUUUUCCAGAAAAAAGGGGGUGCCGCUGGGCAGAAAAUAAGGAAUAUCAUGGCAGAAUACGACAAGAAUGACGCCAUCGAGACUGUUACGAUCUCAGGCACUUAGGAUGUUGGACCCAAUUGCAGACAGGGAGACAGAGGAUGUUGUGACUGACCAGAGUGUAGAUGAGAUGGUCUUGGGAAUCUUCGCCAUAAAGAAGGAAGGUGCAGAGCCAACAGAUUCCCUCGCAGAUGUGGGGAUUGUAAUUGAAGGUGUGGAAGUGCUGAACGAUCUUCAAAACAUUGCGAACGCAUUGGCAAUUUUAUUUGGACUCACAUAUGCAUUGGACUUGAGCUAUUUUUUUUUUUAGAUGCACGUUUGAGGUUCUUCAAAAAAUCCUGAUGGAAAUGGAAGUUCGCCACCUGUCAACAAAGGCUCAAGUGCUGAAAAACAAACUGUUUGAAUGAACUAUUUGAACACUACAAGUGGAACGCCUUGAAACGGCACGUUGGAAAUCUUGGAGCAGAGGUUUUAUCCAAAUAUUUCAGAGGGAAUUUUAUAUAUGGAAUGUUACUGAAUAGUAAUGUUACAAAUUAUUAAUGUCGGACAGUUUGUACGUACAAGUUGCAGUUUGGGCUAUGUGGUUCAAACAUGUUGCUCUUUUGAACAUUUUUGUUGCUAGCUAAAUGUUGUGCAACUUCAACCUUUUGUGUUUGUUGAUAAGGCGUGAUACAAAGAAGUCUUUAUGGGUUUCCAUGAUUUUAAACUUGGUAAACCUGGUUGCCUAUGGUUAUAUCGCAUUUCAUGUGAAAUAAAUGUAUUUUUUUCACUGAACAAAA